CCAUGAAAAUAAGAAAUAUAUAUCUUCGAGUAUGAUAUGGAUUUGUGCAUUGCAUCAAAAAGUUUCUUUAUUACCCAAGAAAAUGAAAUUUGCAUGCAAAUUUUUGCAAUUGCAACACAAUUAUGAAAAUAAAUUCAAACUCCUUUCUCACGGAUAAAAUAUUGUAUUUAUAUACAUACACAGACACACUCAGUAAUGGAAAUUUGAUCAUUUUCCAGUGGCAAAGACGUAAAACUACGAGGAAAGAAACAAACAAGAAAAGUGUACAGAUGAAAACAAAGAGUUAACAAAAAAUAAAAAUUAUGUAGAGAAAGAUCACCAGUUCCAUUUACUGCUUCCAGACCAAGCUCAAAACUUGCAACCUUAGAAGCAACCGAGGAGUUUCUUUGGAGUUUGGCCUGUAGCGCGGUAUUUUGCAGCCAUUUCCUCUGCCUUUAGGAGUUCUUCUCCUCGUUGGGCUUCAACCAUCGCCCUCUUUUCUUCAGCCUGUUUGUGAACCAAAGCUACUUUGUUUUUCAUUUUCUCAGCAUAUUCUGCCUUUUGUUUCUCCAAAUU
rnacentral:misc_RNA from 1 species